UACAGAGGUCUCAACCGUUGUUCGGAUUCAUUGGGCGUAAAGGGCGCGUAGGCGGUUCGUACAGUCAGACGUGAAAUUCCUGGGCUCAACCUGGGGGCUGCGUUUGAUACGUGCGGACUUGAGUGCGGAAGAGGGUCGUGGAAUUCCCAGUGUAGAGGUGAAAUUCGUAGAUAUUGGGAAGAACACCGGUGGCGAAGGCGGCGACCUGGUCCGGUACUGACGCUGAGGUGCGAAAGCGUGGGGAGCAAACAGG
rnacentral:rRNA from 1 species